CUUGCCCUUCUCCCCUGAGGCAGGCAUAAAACCUAGGAAGGAUCUUCUCAUUUUCUCCUGAAGCAGGACACAAGAUCCUCAUGUGAGAGACGCCAACCCUACACAUGGAGAGAAAGGACUCUAUCUCAAAUAAGAAGAAGAUGCAGGGACACAGAGAGGAAUCUGAACAAACAGAACUUGCUAAGUUCCCCCCAGUUGACUGCUAUUACAUCAUACUCUUUGUCCAGUCAUAUUUCUACACAGCUGUCCACUCUUCAUCAAGCCUAGCAUGCAAAUACAUCAAGUUUCUGUCGCUUUGGGUCUUCAUUUCUGAAGGCUCCCAUGUCACAUAAAACUUAUAUUAAAUUUGUAUGCUUUUUUCUUCUUUUUCUUCUUCUUCUUAUUAUUUGAGAUAGAGUCUCACUAUGUUGCCUAGGGUGGUCUUGAACUCUUGGGCUCAAGUGAUCCUCCAGCCCCUGCCUCCCAAGUAGCUGGAAUUACAGGUGCAUACCACUAUGCCCAGUGGCUUUUUUCUUAUUAAUCUGUCUUUUGUUAUAGGGGUCUUAACCAUGAACCUAGGAUGGGUGAGGGAAAGAUAUUUUUCCUCCUGUCAACUGAAGAAUGAGGUUCAUAAAUCUGGAAAGAAGAGCUUUAUUUCUCAUGAAGGGUUGCAGCCUGUAGGGUGGCCAUCCUGACAAGCAGGGAAGCACAGCCUCAGGCCAGAAGCCAGACACAAACACUUUGAGGGAGGGGCAGAGGGAACAGAAAUUGAUGCUAAGCAGGGUGGCCACAUGUACAUAUUCAAUAAACUGUAGGAGGAGUCAUGAAUAUUUAUGAAAGGAGAAAGGUGCACACAUGCAACGGAGCUUCAUGCUCCUUCAUGGGACUGAUGUACAAAAAAAUGGUGGCAUUAGCAAGAUCCAAGGGUGGAUUGCUGCCCUCUGAUGUCAAAAGGUGAAGAAGACCAGAAAACCCUUGCUGUGCAGUCUCUGUAGACUGGCCCGAACCAUUCCGUGGUCGGUGGUCUCUUAUGGGAAAAAAUGCUGGUCAGUUAUGCGAAAACCGCAAAAGGGAGAAGCAGUGUCUGGUGGUUGGUUGAAAUCAGCGGUGGAGUCUUUUGAAAGGGCUGUUUGCUCCUUAGCCCUUGGGUGAGAAAGCCUAAUCAUGGUUAGCCAGGGAGGGGGGCAUAUGAGAGGCAUGUCUGACCUCCUAUCCCAUCAUGGCUGUGAACUCAGUUUUCAAGGUUACUCUGGGUCCCCUUGGCUAAGAGGAGAUCUGUUCAGUCAGUUACGGGGCUUAGGAUUUUAUUUCUCACUCCCCUACAUAAAUACGCACACAAGAUAAAACACUUUCCUCUUUGCUGGAAUCUCUUAAUGUUGAUGGUCAAAAGGUCCUAUAUUUACCAUUUAGGAUGUUAAGAAUCUAAAAUGAUCCAGCAAUAUUGUCAAAGGCAUUAGAACCAGAGCAACUCCGUCUUGAAUAGAGGCUGGGUAAAAGGAGGCUCAGGCCUCCUGGGCUGCAUUCCAAGGAUGGUUAGGCAUUCUUAGUCACAGGAUGAGAUAGGAAGUCAGCAGGACUGUUAUCACAAGAUACAGGUAAUAAAGACCCUGCUGAUAAAACAGGAUGUAGUAAAGAAGCCUGCCAAAACCCACCAAAUCCAAGAUGGGGAUGAAAGUGACCUCUGGUUGUCCUCACUGCUCAUUAUACACUAGUUACAAUGCAUUAGCAUGCUAAAAGAUACUCCCACCAAUGCUAUGACAGUUUACAAAUGCUAUGGCUAUGUCCAGAAGUUACUCUACAUGGUCUAAAAAGGGGAAGAACCCUCAGUUCCAGGAAUCCCCACCCCUUUCCCAAAAAACUCAUAAAUAGUCUACCCCUUGUUUAGCAUAUGACCAAGAAAUAACCAUAAAAAUAACCAACCAGUAGCCCUUGGGGCUGCUCUAUGGAGUAGCUUUUGUUUCUCCUGUAAUAAACUUGCAUUCACUUUACUCUGAAUUUGCCUUCAUUCUUGAACAAGAUCCAAGAACCCUCUCUUGGGGUCUGGAUUGGGACCCAUUUCCAGUAACAUCUUCCUGGCAAACCACCAAGGGACAACACUGGAGAAACCCCGACCCAAAAGAAUAGACUGCAGCACUAAUUGGCCAACUUUGCACUACGGAAAUGACAUUAGACAAAAAGCAAAUUUGAGCGAUUUUCGUAUCAAAGUUCGAAAUGGGUCAUAAAGCAGUGGAGACAACUCGCAACAUCCACAAUGCAUUUGGCGCAGGAACUGCUAAUGAACUGACAGUGCAAUGGUGGUUCAAGAAGUUUUGCAAAGGAGACAAGAGCCUUGAAGAUGAGGAGCACGGUGGCCAGCCAUCAGAAGUUGACAACGACCAGUUGAAAGCGAUCGUCAAGGCUGAUCCUCUUACAACUACACGAGAAGUUGCCAAAGAGCUCAACAUCAACCAUUCUGUGGUCAUUCAGCAUUUGAAGCAAAUUGGAAGGGUAAAAAAGCAUGACUGCCAGCUUCUUGAGGGCAAGAAUCUUUUCAAUUUAAUACACAGCCAAGUGGCCGUUUCCUGACUAGCAGUCACACAUGUACUCUGAGUUCUCCAAAAGCCCACACCUCUGUUCAACUUUGAAACUUUCAGAGGUCACCUGAACGAACCCAUCAGAACUCAGCUAUAUCAACCAGCUGGAACUAAGCAAGUUUGAAUCCUGCAUUUGCAUAAAUAAACCUGGCUGGGAACCAGGGUGAAACUUUUGUUAUAAAACCCAAACCCCACCUUCGUUUUACACCAAAGGCUGUGUCUCCCUGUACUGCAAACUGUUCACUGCAAUAAAGUC
rnacentral:lncRNA from 1 species